UGGGGAAUAUUGGACAAUGGGGGGAACCCUGAUCCAGCAAUGCCGCAUGUGUGAAGAAGGCCUGAGGGUUGUAAAGCACUUUCAGAGGGGAGGAGGACUAUUAGGUUAAGAGCUAGAUAGUUGGACGUUACCCUCAGAAGCAGCACCGGCUAACUCCGUGCCAGCAGCCGCGGUAAUACAGAGGUGGCAAGCGUUGUUCGGAAUUACUGGGCGUAAAGGGCGCGUAGGCGGCCUGAUAAGUCUCGUGUGAAAGCCCUCGGCUUAACUGAGGAUCUGCACGGGAUACUGUUGGGCUUGAGUUCGGGAGAGGAAAGCGGAAUUCCGGGUGUAGCGGUGAAAUGCGUAGAUAUCCGGAGGAACACCAGUGGCGAAGGCGGCUUUCUGGACCGACACUGACGCUGAGGCGCGAAAGCUAGGGGAGCAAACGGGAUUAGAUACCCCCGUAGUCCCUGAGCGGGCUGGCAAGGCGCAU
rnacentral:rRNA from 1 species